UCUGGUUGAUCCUGCCAGUAGUCAUAUGCUUGUCUCAAAGAUUAAGCCAUGCAUGUCUAAGUAUAAGCAAUUUAUACAGUGAAACUGCGAAUGGCUCAUUAAAUCAGUUAUCGUUUAUUUGAUAGUUCCUUUACUACAUGGUAUAACUGUGGUAAUUCUAGAGCUAAUACAUGCUUAAAAUCUCGACCCUUUGGAAGAGAUGUAUUUAUUAGAUAAAAAAUCAAUGUCUUCGGACUCUUUGAUGAUUCAUAAUAACUUUUCGAAUCGCAUGGCCUUGUGCUGGCGAUGGUUCAUUCAAAUUUCUGCCCUAUCAACUUUCGAUGGUAGGAUAGUGGCCUACCAUGGUUUCAACGGGUAACGGGGAAUAAGGGUUCGAUUCCGGAGAGGGAGCCUGAGAAACGGCUACCACAUCCAAGGAAGGCAGCAGGCGCGCAAAUUACCCAAUCCUAAUUCAGGGAGGUAGUGACAAUAAAUAACGAUACAGGGCCCAUUCGGGUCUUGUAAUUGGAAUGAGUACAAUGUAAAUACCUUAACGAGGAACAAUUGGAGGGCAAGUCUGGUGCCAGCAGCCGCGGUAAUUCCAGCUCCAAUAGCGUAUAUUAAAGUUGUUGCAGUUAAAAAGCUCGUAGUUGAAUUUUGGGCCCGGUUGGCCGGUCCGAUUUUUUCGUGUACUGGAUUUCCAACGGGGCCUUUCCUUCUGGCUAACCUUGAGUCCUUGUGGCUCUUGGCGAACCAGGACUUUUACUUUGAAAAAAUUAGAGUGUUCAAAGCAGGCGUAUUGCUCGAAUAUAUUAGCAUGGAAUAAUAGAAUAGGACGUUUGGUUCUAUUUUGUUGGUUUCUAGGACCAUCGUAAUGAUUAAUAGGGACGGUCGGGGGCAUCAGUAUUCAAUUGUCAGAGGUGAGUCUAGACUAAAAACUUCGUCGGAAUCUGUUGACUGAAUUCAGAUUUUUAAUGGGCCUCAGAGGGGUUUUCCAUGGGGGAUUAAUUCUUUAAUGGAAAUACGGUUUUUCCUGGUGAAAUUCUUGGAUUUAUUGAAACUAACUACUGCAAGCUGGAGUUUCUUAUCAGAACGAGGGACGAAAGACAAACUCGACUAACCUAACUAUGCCAGCGGGGGGUUUUUAUGCCCUCGCCUAAAUUGGGGAAAGAUUAAUCAACAAACUACUGAAACUUUGAUCUAACAAAGUAGGGACGAAAAUACUAACCACUAGGGGUUUCGGAAUGUUUAUCACUUGGAUCCUUUCCAAAAAAGUGGGACCAAUGACCGGCAUCAGUAUUCCAUUGUGUGAAUUCUAUUUGAACUCUACUGAAAGCUUAGCUUUUACACGAAUCGAAGAUGAAACCUUGUCGAGGUGAAAUUCCUUGGAUUUAUUGACCAUCGUAUGAUUAAUAGGAACGGCCGGGGGCUCCGUAUUCAUUGUCGAGGUGAAUCUUGA
rnacentral:rRNA from 1 species